CUCUCUCUCUCUCUCUCUCUAGCCCAAAACCCUCUUUCUUUGAGGAGCAACCAUCUGAAGCUACAACCUCGUAGAUUUGGCCCGCUAAUCAAGUAUGUUUAAUGGAUUUGUUUUAUUUUGAGAAAAACAAGAUUAAUGGCGGAUUAGAGUAUUGAGAUAGAAAAACCCCAAAAUGUGUCAAUGGUAGAUAAGAGAAUUAGGAUUUUUGGGUUAUGCCCUAUACACUAGGAAAAUGAUGAGGGAUAGAAACUGAUUUCACCAUUUAGAGAAGAAAUUUGUUAUUGCAAGGUGUAUUAGUCAAAAUCAGGGUUCAGGUUGUGUUUUUUUUUUUUGGGUAAGUUAGUGUUUUCUUAUAUUCAUGCUCAUCUCUGGAUGCGAAAUUGUACACAAAUUUUAUUUUUAUUUUUUUGGCCCCUUAGAUUAGCUGGAGUUUGUAAUCAAUUAUGUUAAUCUUAAGUAUUGUGUGUAAUAAUCAUUUUUUGCUCGGGGCCUCUUGUCCUUCUUCAUUUUUUUUUGGUGAAAAUUUUGGUUUCUUUGAGUUUAUUUAGGGAAAUUAUUGUAAAGCCUUUGGGUCUUCUCUUAAAUUUGAUUACCAUUUUACUGUGGAGCUCAUGUUAGUCAGGGAUAUCUGAAAUAAGAGGUUUCAUUUCUAGGCCAUUGUUUUUACUUAUGCAUUAUUUGUUUGG
rnacentral:lncRNA from 1 species